UCAUCACUCCGCAGUCUGCCCCCCAGCCCACUGAUAGCAACCAUCAUAAUGCCCCACCCAGCUUCCGGCACCUUUCGCCACUCCGGCACAAACCGACACAGCUUUGCGAUCUCCCCAGCAUGCAGAGUCUGAUGUCUUCCCUAUAGAUGAUUCCAGAGACUCUGUGAAGCCACUAUUACAAGGUGAGACGCUUUGCGUUGAUUGGUGCUGCUGGACCACACUGGAGGUGCGAGUCCGCCGUGUAAUGGUUUAUGCCAUUACAAAGGAGCUGGCCUCUGUACUCAACUGGGCAGGGGAAAAAAUACCAAGGACCAGACAAAGCAAAAAAGGGCAUUUAAAGAGACAGCGCUGUGCAGAUGCAUAUUUGAUGGCCUGGCGCAGCAGGUAGGGGCGAACUCUAUGUCUGAGUUGGUCUUUGCUCAAGCAGUCCAGAAAUGGCUCAGAUAUGCUCCAGAUCGUACGGGUGGCACGCAGGACGCACAUCAUCCAUCCCCAUC